AUCUGGUUGAUCCUGCCAGUAGUCAUAUGCUUGUCUCAAAAAUUAACACAUGCAUGUCUAAGUAUAAAUAGUAUACAGUGAAACUGCGAAUGGCUCAUUAAAACAGUUAUAGUUUAUUUGAUAAUGGAAAGCUACAUGGAUAACCGUGGUAAUUCUAGAGCUAAUACAUGCUGUCAAGCCCGACUUUUUGGAAGGGUUGUAUUUAUUAGAUAUCAAGCCAAUAUUCCUUCGGGUCUAUUGUGGUGAAUCAUAGUAACUGAUCGAAUCCCUUCUUGGGAUAAAUCAUUCAAGUUUCUGCCCUAUCAGCUUUCGAUGGUAGUGUAUUGGACUACCAUGGCAUUAACGGGUACGGAGAAUUAGGGUUCGAUUCCGGAGAGGGAGCCUGAGAAACGGCUACCACAUCUAAGGAAGGCAGCAGUGGUGAAAAUUACCCAAUCCUGAUUCAGGGAGGUAGUGACAAGAAAUAGAAAUCUGGGCCACUUUCGUGGUUACGGAAUUUAAAUGAGAACAAUUUAAAAGACUUAUCGAGGAACAAUUGGAGGGCAAGUCUGGUGCCAGCAGCCGCGGUAAUUCCAGCUCCAAUAGCGUAUACUAAAGUUGUUGCAGUUAAAAAGCUCGUAGUUGAACUUCUGUACAGUCUCAGUUCUGGCUUAGGUCAAGCUGUUGGCUGUGCAUCCGCUUGCAAAGCUAGUUCGGCCUUAACUGGUCGGCUGGUAGAGUAAGCCCUUUACUUUGAAAAAAUUAGAGUGUUUCAGGCAGGCAAUGGCUCGAAUACAUUAGCAUGGAAUAAUGGAAUAGGACUUUUGUCCAUUUGGUUGGUUAUUGGACAUGAGUAAUGAUUAAAAGGGACAGUUGGGGGCAUUGGUAUUUAACAGUCAGAGGUAAAAUUCUAGGAUCUGUUAAAGACUAACUUAUGCGAAAGCAUUUGCCAAGGAUGUUUUCAUUAAUCAAGAACGAAAGUUAGGGGAUCAAAGACGAUCAGAUACCGUCCUAGUCUUAACUAUAAACUAUACCGACUCAGAAUCAGAAUAGCCUUUAAACUAUUCUGGCGCUGUAUGAGAAAUCAAAGUCUUUGGGUUCUGGGGGGAGUAUGGUCGCAAGGCUGAAACUUAAA
rnacentral:rRNA from 1 species